rnacentral:rRNA from 1 species
GACAGAGGGGGCAAGCGUUGUCCGGAGUUACUGGGCGUAAAGGGCGCGGAGGCGGUCUGCGGCGUCGGCGCUGAAAGCGCCCCGCUUAACGGGGCGAGGCGUGCCGAUACGCGCAGGCUCGAGGCGAGCAGAGGGUGGUGGAAUUCCGGGUGGAGCGGUGAAAUGCGUAGAGAUCCGGAGGAACGCCAGUGGGGAAGCCGGCCACCUGGGCUCGACCUGACGCUCAUGCACGAAAGCUAGGGGAGCAAACAGG